GCAGGUGUAGCACAAUGGUUAGUGUGAGAGCCUUCCAAGCUCAGGAUGAGAGUUCGAUUCUCUUCACCUGCU
rnacentral:tRNA from 1 species